rnacentral:rRNA from 1 species
AGGGUUUGAUUCUGGCUCAGGAUGAACGCUGGCGGCGUGCCUAACACAUGCAAGUCGAGCGAAGCGCUUGGGUUUGAUUCUUCGGAUGACGACCCUUGUGACUGAGCGGCGGACGGGUGAGUAACGCGUGGGCAACCUGCCCUGUACAGGGGGAUAACAGUUAGAAAUGACUGCUAAUACCGCAUAAGCCCACAGCUUCGCAUGAAGCAGUGGGAAAAACUCCGGUGGUACAGGAUGGGCCCGCGUCUGAUUAGCUAGUUGGUAAGGUAACGGCUUACCAAGGCGACGAUCAGUAGCCGACCUGAGAGGGUGACCGGCCACAUUGGGACUGAGACACGGCCCAA